GCCAGCAGCCUUAUCACCCUGUAACUCACAACUGGCAACCCACUGGAGCUCAGCAGGUGUGAGCCUGGUCAUUACUGGAUGGGAGACCUCCUGGGAAAAACUAAGGUUGCUGCUGGAA
rnacentral:rRNA from 1 species